UGCAAAGACUCAACAAAGCUGGAAAUAAACUGGCAAGACUGCAAAAAAAGAAACGUCAGCUUCCAAUCUGGAGGUGAACUUAGGAGUGAUGUAUAAGACUAUUGCUAUGAAUGUGAAGAAAUUGCUGAAGAACCUGGAAUACCCACUUAUCUACAAAUUAGCUAAACUGUCCGUUCAGUGGUGUAUAUAUGCCUGCCUAGAGUCCCUGGGUCACCACUCUGGUGGAAGAUGAAAGGCCUUCUCCAAAACCAAGACAGGAGUGGUCUACAAGAAAUCAAACAUUGAAGAACUUGAUUUGAGGAACUGAAUAAUUCUUGAUUAUUCACGACUGAACACACCAAACAGCAUUUGCCUUCUAUUACCUCACCAUAACCCCCCAAACAGGAAGAGGAAUACAGGCUCCAACUGAUAUAGAUUGCAAUCCCAGAGACUCUCCACUUGAUGGCUGGUUGUGUCAUUGCUAGUCGACUGCUGCCCUGUAUCCAGAAGGAC